rfam:Nestor notabilis contig66734, whole genome shotgun sequence.
AAAAAGGCUCUUUUAAGAGCCGCCCCCAAUGGUCGUAAAAGGUUG